UUUAUAUUUUUCCUUCACAAAUUCCCCCAACUUUUAUAUCUUCUAUUUACAUUUUCCCUCCCUUAUGUUUCAUAUUCACCUCAAAAUUUUCAUUUUCCCUCUAUUCCCGCUUGUUUAUUUCCCUCCCUCACGAAUUUCUCACCCUCACAAACCCUAAUCGAACCCCAAGUCUCUCUGUCGCAUCCCUCUCGUUCCUUUUGACACCACCGAUACCUUCCAGUGCACCAUCCCAUCCCUGCCCUGCAUUGCACCGUCGUUGCCGUCUAGUGAACCGUGUCUCUCCUGUUCGUUACAGCCUUUGUGUGCAAUUUUCCACUAAUUUCAUAUGAAUAUGUUGUGUCUAAAUCUCUGUUUUUUAUUCGCUCGUUAUGAUGUUUAGAAUAUGUGCAUACCAAGUGUUUGAUGAAAUGUUUGUGUUAGUUUUCCCCUUUAAUUUUAUUCACAUUUGUCUAAGUGCCUUGGUUGCAGUUAUUCUUGGUUGUGUGUAGGUUCAGUUGGACAUGGUGAAGAUUUGUCCUACUUACAAAGGAUAAAAUACAUGUUGGAACCGUUGAAUGCACUUCAGGUGCACUUUCCAGCAUUAAUAAUCGAACUCAGGCAAUUCUAGCUAGUUUUGAAGCGCUUGAGAAUGACAAUCCUGGAUCCAAAGUGACUACUAAUAUGAAACCGAAAGCUGAAAGUUAUGGCUUACCCCUUUGAAAUUCUCUUUUUGUUUUAUUCUGUCUAAGUUUAUAUUUUCAACUCAUACAUGUUUUUCUUAUACCAAAGAUGCGUUGUGCAAGAUUUAAAAGAAUGGAAUUGAACCUCGAGGUGUUUUCCUUUUGCCUCGUGAGGCGUAGGACUCGAGGCGAACUAAGGCAUAAGCCCAGGAGGCACACCUCAUACACGAUUUCUUACCAUCUCGUUUCAAGGCGCAUGUCUCAACGGUUUUUUUAAACCAUGGCGUUGUGAUGUCUUCUUGCAAUCAGAGUGCUCAUAUAUGGUGAUGUUUUCUUGCUGUUUCUGUUUCUUAUGGUCUUAUCCUAAUAUAUGCAGUUUUUCAUAAGAAGCAUUCCAAAGGUACCAAACUUAAAACUCGCUUGGCCAAAGCACCUGAGAUCACAAAGAAAGCGCCAUGAACGUUCCCCGAGCUCUUGCAUGAGACGGUUUCUACGGAUUGGGAUGCAAGGAUUGAAGAAGUCAAUUCGGGUUGUAAGGCGUACGAAGUUGCCUAUUUGAUAUUUUUGGAUUUCGAACUUUUUUGAGCUUCAUUUGGAAAACAUGUACAUUUCUCAAAGUGUAUACGUUUUGUGUUUCUUACGAGAACCAUGUAGUUUUUGGAAACGUGUUUAAUAUGUUAGAAAUUUUUGUUUGUUAUU